UUUAUGCCUAAAGCGCCAGGACUUAAUAUAUAUUAAGUUGACGAGGACAGGGUUUAUCGAAUAUCGGCGGAUACCCUGCGGCAUAUCCACUGUCGUUAGAUGAUUCACAAAACCUAUAAGUGAUUAUAGGGACAAAGGAACAUUAGUGGAUGGA
rnacentral:ncRNA from 2 species